rnacentral:rRNA from 1 species
UACGUAGGGGUGCAAGCGUUUGUCCGGAAUUAUUGGGCGUAAAGAGCUCGUAGGCGGUUCGUCGCGUCGGCUGUGAAAUCCCGAGGCUCAACCUCGGGUCUGCAGUCGAUACGGGCGGACUGGAGUUCGGCAGGGGAGACUGGGAAUUCCUGGUGUAGCGGUGAAAUGCGCAGAUAUCAGGAGGAACACCGGUGGCGAAGGCGGGUCUCUGGGCCGUAACUGACGCUGAGGAGCGAAAGCGUGGGGAGCGAACAGG